UACGGAGGGUGCGAGCGUUGUCCGGAAUCACUGGGCGUAAAGGGCGCGUAGGCGGCGCGGGCAGUCAACGGUGAAAGCUCGGGGCUCAACUCCGAGUCGGCCGUCGAUACUCCCGUGCUCGAGCACUGUAGAGGCAGGUGGAAUUCCGGGUGUAGCGGUGGAAUGCGUAGAGAUCCGGAAGAACACCGGUGGCGAAGGCGGCCUGCUGGGCAGUGAGCUGACACUGAGGCGCGACAGCGUGGGGGAGCAAACAGG
rnacentral:rRNA from 1 species